rnacentral:rRNA from 1 species
UGGUGGAGUGAUUUGUCUGGUUAAUUCCGUUAACGAACGAGACCUCAGCUUGCUUUAUAGUGUUGCUAAUGCGCUUGCAUUGGUAUUUUUCACACUUCAAAGAGGGACAUUCCGAGUUUAUCGGAAGGAAGUUUGAGGCAAUAACA